rnacentral:tRNA from 1 species
UGGCUCAAUGGUAGAGCGUUCGACUCAAAUACGAAAUGUCAUGGGUUUGCAUCCCAU